GUGGCUAUUUAUCCAAUCCAUUGAAGGCCUGAAUAGAACAAAAAGGGCAAAGAAAAAGGAAUUCACCCCUUUUGCUUCCUGUCUGCCUGUUUAAGCUAGGUCAUUGGUCUUCUCCUGCCCAUGGACUGGGAUGUGAUAGGUCCCUCCCAGUUCUCAGGUCUUCUGGCUCAGACUGGAAUUAUACCACUGACUACACUGACUAUCCUGCAGUUUACAGAUGGCAGAUUAUGGGACUUCUCAGCCUCAGUGGCCAUAGGAACAAGUCUGGGCUCACCAGGUGUUGGAUGACUCUUCAUAUGGAACAGAGAUAAGCUAUCUCCACUGAAGCCAACCAAACCACCCAGCUGCAAAACUGCCUGGCAGAAGACUGAAGAUGAAUAAAUAAAUCCAGUGCAGACUAGAAGAGCCAAUUAGCUGAACCCAGCUCACGUUUCUAACCAACAGAAUUAUAAGACUACACCCAUGCCUAUGUCUGAAUCAAGCUAAAAGGAAAGAUGGAACUGGCCUCUGAAAUUUGUCACACAGAGAAAGUGUGUUCUGAAAGAAAGGCACAUUUGUAACCCCCAGACAACAGUUUAAGAGCACGCUCUUUGGCUGCCUCUAUAGUUGCAUAAACAUCCUUCCCCUCAUGGUCCAUUAGCUUCCAGGAAAUGAGCGAAGGAUCUGGCAACUGUCUUUCACUUGAUCUUUGCUUCUCUCAAAUGAAGGAAAGAAGUGUCGCAAGAUACAGUCAGUCACCCAGCCUCUUCCAAUAUGAAAACCUCAUAUGAAAUAUGGGCAUUUUCCUUCUUUAUUUUAGUUUUAUUAAUAGUGACAGAGCCCAUUCAAGAGAGAAAGACAACCCACUCCUUCCCCCAAACUCUUCCCUGUCCUCUCUAGAAAGAAAUAAGUAUUUUCCACAAGGGGAGAUGAGAAAAGCCCUGGGCUUUCUGUUGCUGUUGCAUAGUGAAGGUUUCAUCCCAGGUGCUGAUUUAGGAUGUUCACCGUUGUGCAUAAAAUUGGAAGACAGAGACUAUGUGUGUGUUUUUAAAGUCGGAGGAUGACAAGGACUUAGAGGGAGGUAAGAGAGGAAACACACUGGAUCUGGCAUGGUUUUCUGUAGUUUUACCUGACACUGGGCAGGUUUUCAAUAAGCAUUUCCUCCAUUCCCACCGCACACCCAGUGAAUAUGCUGCAAAGGCGCAAGGGGUGUGGUCUGUGAGCCCAGGAACAACAUUGAACAAAAGUGUUUGCCAGGCAACUGCCUUGCUUUUACUCAACAGAGAACUUCUCAUUAUGGGCACACAAGUCCUACCAUCAAAACCAGUCUCUAAGUAGGAGAAACUUUGUCCAUCUGGAGCAGCCCCCUUGCCUGGAGCAGCACCCAAUAAGGAUGAUAAAUGACUUUCUACAAAAAUUUAACCCAUUGGUGUCCAGAUAUCCUAUGCAGGUAGGUGGCUCCCCACAAAGUCCUAACACAGGCAUACCUCAUUUUUUUGUGCUCCACUUUAUUGUGCUUUGCAGAUACUGCAUUUUUUACAGAUUGAAUGUCUGUGGCAGUCCUGUGUCAAGCAAGUCUAUUGGCAAUUUUCCAACAGCCUGCACUCAUUUCAUACCUCUGUGUCAUAUUUUGGCAAUUUUCAUGAUAUUUCAAAUGUUUUCAUUAUUAUUAUGUGGUUAUAUCUGUUAUGGUGCUCUAUAAUCAGUCACCUUUGAUUACACCCAAGAGCUCUGAUGAAACUCUUGUAAUUGUUUUGAGGCAUCAUGAACUACACCCAGGUAAGACGGCAAAUGUAAUCAAAAAGUGUGUGUGUUCUGACUGUUCCAUCAACCAGCUGUUCCCGUUUCUCUCACUCUCCUCAGCCUCCCUAUUCCUGAGAUACAAUGCUAUUGAAGUUAGGCCAGUUACUAUCCCUAUGAUACCCUCUAAGUGUUCGAGUGAACGGAAGAGUUGCAUGUCUCUCACUUUAAAUCAAAAGCUAGAAAUGAUUAAGCUUUAGCGAUGAAGACAUGUGGAAGCCAAGAUUGGACAGAAGGCAGGCCUCUUGCACCAAACACUUAGCCAAGUCAUGAAGGCAAAAAAAAAAAAAAAAAAAUUAAAAGUGCUACUCCAGUGACCACACAGAAGAUAAGAAAGCAAAAUCAUCCUAUUGCUGAUAUGGAGAAAGUUUUAAUGGUCUGAAUAGAGCAAACCACCUUCAACAUUCCCCUAAGACAAAGAUUAAUCCAGGCCAGGUCCUAACUUUCUUCAAUUCUAUUAAGGCUGAGAGAGAUGAGGGAGCUGCAGAAGCAAGGUUUGAACCUAGCAGAGGUUGGUUCAUGAGGUUUAAGGAAAGAAGCCAUUUCUCUAAAACAAAAGUGCAAGGUUCGAAGCAGCAAGUGAUGAUGUAGAAACUGCAGCAGGUUACGCAGAAGAUCUAGCAAAUAUCAUUGACGAAAGUGGCUCCAUUAAAUGACAUAUUUUUAGUGUAGAUAAAACAGUUUUCUAUCAAAACAAGAUGCCAUUUAGGACUUUCAUAGCUAGUGAGAAGUCAAUGCCUGGCUUCAAAACUUCAAAGACAGGCGGACUCUCUUGUUAGGGGCCAAUGCAGCUGAUGACUUUAAAUUGACAUCAGUGCCUAUUUUUCAUUCCAGCAAUCCUAGAGACCUUAAGAAUUAUACUAAAUCUACUCUGCCUGUGUUCUAUAGAUGCAGCAACAAAACCUGGAUGACAGCACAUCUGUUUAUAGCAUGGUUUACAAAUAUUUUAAUCCCCCUGUUGAGACCAACUACCCAGAAAAAAAAAAAGAUUUCAUUCAAAAUAUUGCUGCUAGUUGACAAUACACCUAGUCACCCAAGAGAUCUGAUGAAGAUGUACAAGAAGAUUAAUGUUGCUUUCAUGCCUGCUAACACAACAUGCAUUCUGCAUGGAUAAAGGAGUCAUUUGGACUUUCAAGUCUUAUUAUUUAAGAAAUACAUUACAUAAGGCUACAUCUACUGUAGACAGUGAGUCCUCUGAUAGAUCUUGGCAAAGUAAUUGAAAAUCUUCUGGAAAGAGUUCACCAUUCUAGAUGCCUUAAAAACAUUCACAACUUAUGGUGGGAGGUCAAAAUACCAACAUUAACAAGAGUUUGGGAAAAGUUAAUUUCAGCCUUCAUAGAUGACUCUGAGAGGUUCAAGAUUUCAGUGGAGGAAGUAAUUACAGACAUAGGGGAAAUAUCCAGAGAACUAAAAUUAGAAUUGGAGCCUGAAGAUAUGACUGAGUUGCUGCAAUCUCAGAAUCCAACUUUAAUGGAUGAGGAGUUGCUUCUUGUGGGAGAGCAAAGAAAGUGGUUUCUCGAGAUGGAAACUACUCCUGGUGAAGACGCUGUGAAGAUUUUUGAAAGGACAACAAAGGAUUUAGAAUAUUAUGUAAACUUAGUCAAUAAAGUAUCAGCAGGGUUUGAGAGGAUUGACCCCAAUUUUGAAAGAAGUUCUACCUUGGGGAAAAUGCUAUCAAACAGCAUUGCAUGCCGCAGAGAAGUUCAUUGUGAAAGAAAGCAUCAGUUGACAGAGCAAAAUUCAGUGUUGUCUUAUUUUAAGAAAUUGUCACAGCCACCCCAAACUUCAGCAACAACCACCCUGAUCAGUCAGCAGCCAUCAACAUCACAGCAAAAUCCUCCACCAGCAAAAAGAUUUGGACUUGCUGAAGACUUAGAUGAUCAUUAGCAUUUUUUAGCAACAAAGCAUUUUUUAACCUUUUAUUGGCACAUAAUAGUUGUGCAUAUUUAUCAGGCACAUGUAAUAUUUUGAUAUAUGCAUACAAUUGUGUAAUGAUCAAAUCAGGGUAUUUAGGAUACUCAUCAUCUCAAAUAUUUAACUUGUUUUGUGUUGGGAACAUUUCAGAUCUUCUCGUAUAGCUGUUUGGAAAUAUGUAAUAAAUUAUUGCUAAUCACAGUCGCCCUACUGCACCAGAACAUAUUACAUCUAUCUAACCGUAUGUUUGUGUCCAUUUACCAACCUUUCUUCAUUCUCCAUCCCCUUCCUAGCCUCUGGUAAUAUUGUUCUACUCUCUGCUUUCAUGAGAUCACCAUUUUAAGCUUCCACAAAUGAAUAGGAACAUGCAAUAUUUGUCUUUCUCUGUCUGGCCUAUUCCAUUUAACAUAAUGACUUCCAGUUUCAUCCACGUUGCCGCAAAUGAUAGGAUCUCAUUUGUUUUAUGGCUGACUAGUAUCUCAUUGUGUGUAUAUACACCUCAUUUUCUUUAUCCAUUUAUCCUUUGAUGGACACUUAGAUUGAUUCCAUAUCUCGGCCAUUAUGAAUAGUGCUGCAAUAACGUGGCAUUAACCUCAUGUAGCAUAAUGUUUACUAACCAUUUCCAUAAUUCAGGCAAGUUUUACUUCUAGAAUAGUUGGCUGUAAAGUAAUACCUCAAAGAUGCUGUGGAUACAGUUCCAGAAUAUUCACUCCUGCAAUAACUAUGGUUGGUUUUUCUCCAACCAAGUAUAUUGUUAUCUCCAAAUAUAAAUAUUAUUUCCAAGUAUAUUGUCGAUAUACUUCUAUGUAGUAUAGACUACAUGGGGGUGGAGGGCAUCUCUUUGAAAGAUUGAUUUAUUUUCCUUUGCAUAAAUAUUCUGUAAUAGAAUUGCCAGAUGCCAUGGUAGAUCUCUCUUUUUUUUCUUUUUUAGAUUUUGAGAGAUCUGCAUAACUUUUUGCAUAAUAGUUCUACUAAUUUGCAUCUCCACUAACAGUGUAUAUGAGUUCCUAUUUCUCCACAUCCUCAUCAGUAUUUGUUAUUUUUGUCUUUUUGUUCUCAUUGUGGCUUUGAUUUUCAUUCCCCUGAUGAUUAGUACGUUGAGUGUUUUUUUAUAUACCUGUUGGCCAUUUGUAUGUCUUAUUUUGAGAACUGUCUAUUCAGAUCCUUUGCCCACUUUUUAAUAAAAGCAAAUCAUUUCCUAAUUAAGGUGUAUGCAUUGGGCUUUUUAGACAGAAUGCUAUUAAAAACUUGAUAGACUACAGUAUAGUGUAAACAUAACUUUUAUUUCACUGGGAAAACAAAAAAGAUUGUGUGACUUGUUUCGCUGCAAUAUUCACUUUAUUAUCGUGGUCUGGGACUGAAUCCACAAUAUCUCUGAGAUAUCACCGUACAGCCGACUAUUCUAAAAGGAAAACUUGCCUGAGUUAUGGGAAUGGUUGGUAAACAUUAUGCUACAUGAGGUUAAUGUCAAGUGUCUCACAGGGUCUUUGAAGAUUUAAAUAAGCUAAUGAAUAAAGAGCACUGCAUCUGUCUGCUCGUUCAUCUUCUUCCUUUUACUUGCACAUUGAUCCUACCCUGAGUUUUGCCGUGGCCAAGGAAACUAUUUAAUUCAACAGACCUACACCCCAAUAUUAAGUGAUUCCAUCUAUAAGUAAAUCAAUACAUGUUUCUCUUUUAAUUGCAGAAAAGCCAACCGUAGUUAUCCCAGGAGUGAAACUUCAGUGUGGUUUGUUUACAAAGUUGAAAGCAAAAUAUGCCCAAAGCACCUUUUUUUCAUCUUCCAUCCUUUUAUUAGGAUAUAUUAGCAACACUUGAAACUGUGUUGACGUUAGC